rnacentral:tRNA from 1 species
AUUUACAUAGUUUAAUAAAAACAUUAUAUUUUCAUUAUAAAAUUGGAAAAAAUUCCUAUAAAUA